rnacentral:rRNA from 1 species
GAUGAACGCUGGCGGCGUGCCUAAUACAUGCAAGUAGAACGCUGAAGCUUGGUGCUUGCACCGAGCGGAUGAGUUGCGAACGGGUGAGUAACGCGUAGGUAACCUGCCUGGUAGCGGGGGAUAACUAUUGGAAACGAUAGCUAAUACCGCAUGACAACAGUUAUUGCAUGAUAACUGUUUAAAAGGGGCAAUUGCUCCACUACCAGAUGGACCUGCGUUGUAUUAGCUAGUUGGUGAGGUAACGGCUCACCAAGGCGACGAUACAUAGCCGACCUGAGAGGGUGAUCGGCCACACUGGGACUGAGACACGGCCCAGACUCCUACGGGAGGCAGCAGUAGGGAAUCUUCGGCAAUGGACGGAAGUCUGACCGAGCAACGCCGCGUGAGUGAAGAAGGUUUUCGGAUCGUAAAGCUCUGUUGUAAGAGAAGAACGAGUGUGAGAGUGGAAAGUUCACACUGUGACGGUAUCUUACCAGAAAGGGACGGCUAACUACGUGCCAGCAGCCGCGGUAAUACGUAGGUCCCGAGCGUUAUCCGGAUUUAUUGGGCGUAAAGCGAGCGCAGGCGGUUAGAUAAGUCUGAAGUUAAAGGCUGUGGCUUAACCAUAGUACGCUUUGGAAACUGUUGAACUUGAGUGCAAGAGGGGAGAGUGGAAUUCCAUGUGUAGCGGUGAAAUGCGUAGAUAUAUGGAGGAACACCGGUGGCGAAAGCGGCUCUCUGGCUUGUAACUGACGCUGAGGCUCGAAAGCGUGGGGAGCAAACAGG